UCCCAUAUCCAUUCAGCUAAAUCAAAUUCCAAGAAGACUUCAAGCAAUAUCAAGCUCACAUGCACACUACCCUAAUCAGCCAAAGAUGAUUUCAUGCAAGGAGGACUCUUUUGUGUAUCUAUUGAAGAAUUGUGAUAAAUGAAGGACUCUUGCUAUUUGAAUUAAAGGAAUUUGAAUUAAAUUCAACUACCUUAUCUUGAAAAUCCUACAUUAGCCGAACAUAUGAAAAAGAUUGCAUCAAGAUGGAUUCCAAGCAAGAUCACACAGCCAAGAUUGCUUCCCAAGACCCCCAUUCGGCUAUGACUCUUCAAGAACUAAGAGUCCCAUUCGGUCAAAGCUCUUUGGAGAUCAAGAUAAAUUUCAUCCUUUAGCAUUUAGAUAGAAGUCAGACUCUCGUAAUCUUUACCACUUAUGGCCAAACCUAUGCCUAUAAAUAUGCAAGGCCAUUUCACUUGCUCAUCAUCCCAUUCCAUCUCAUUCUUCUCCUCUCUUCUCCCUUUUCUUUUCUUAGUCUUUUCUUUAGUUUUAGUUCUUGGCUUAGGUUGCAAAUUUGCCAAUAACAAAGUUAGUUUCUAAAAUUCUUUUCUUCAAUACAAUUAUUUUCUUAAAUUCUUCCUUUAAUACAAGUAUUCUUUCUAUUCAAGAUUUAGUUUUCAAUUCUUUUCUCUUUUACUAGUUUUGUCUACAACUCUUUUAUGCUUUAAAAGUUUCGGCAAUCACCCUCUCUUUUACUCAAGUUUAGGUUUCAUACUUCUUUCAUUUAAGUUUCGGUUUAUGCAUUAUUGAUUUAUGUUCUACCAGCUUUUGGCCUUCACUUAUUCUUCCUUGUUUUCAAAAGCAAUCUUUAUUUCUUUUAGUUAUAUUCGGCCACACCUCUUUUACUUGCCAAGUGAUAGUUGGUAGAGUAAAAAUAUAGGCCUAUAAUCCUUUCGACAUUGCUUCCUUAAUUUGUUUUGCAACCCAUUCUAGUAUUCAUUUGUUUAGAUAUAAAAGAUUAGGUUUUCACCAUUGGUACUUAGUCCACCAAACAUUACAAUCUAUAAUCUUAUAGGAGACGAUACUUGAAUACUUAUCACUUUAUUACUUGAUCAAUUUGUGCACUUGCAGUUAUUGCGAAAAUAGGCUAUCAAAAGCAUUCCUAUGUUUAACCAAUUUAGUGAUCCUUAUAUAGCAUUGAAUGAUUGUGGGCAUCAUUGGCCACAUAUAAACAAAAAGUGCUGUAUGCUUAUAACUGCUUACUCUUCGCAUAGAGUAAUCAUACAUCAUUGAUCAUUCUUCAGCUAGAAUAUAUAUAUAGAACAGAAUAUCAUUAAUAAACACUCUAAUAAUGGGCAGUUCAAAGCAUCCUUCUAGGUUGGUGUUUAGGAUACCAUAUAUAAUAUUAACAGCAUAAAGUCUUAAAUUCAACAGUUUAAUUGAUUUCAGUAUAUAUCAAUAAAACAAAGCUGCUUCAUUUCAGGCCAGUGAGAUUGCAUAAAGGCAUUAUGAUAAUCAACAAAAUAUCUAGUUAAUGAAACAAGAAGACUAAUCUUUGACAAAAAAACCAGACCAAAGACAAAGUAAUUAGCCACAAUUUUCCUUACCAUUUCCAUCACAAUCAGCACAGACAAUGCUAUUUGGUUUAGUACUUUGAUUUUUAUCUGCAGCCUGUUAAACCAAAAACUAGGUAAACUUGCAACCAGAAAAUUACAGAAGCAUAAAAAGAGAUUAAGAACAGAGAUUUUAACAAGACUGAAGUUUCCCCUUAAACAUGUUCCACAUAGCUGAAUACUGAUACAUUGACAAUCUAGGUCUGUUCUAAUAACCAUAAAGUUGAAUGUUGCAUUGUUUUCUAUUUUAUCAUCCUUCUCUAGAAUGGGCAACUUCCUUAGCCAUUUCCAGAAAUCAUUCUAUCCUAGAUAGCCAAAACAAUCAUUAUAAUUCAAGCCUUCAGCCCUGACCGCUAUUUCCUUGCUUUUACUAGAUGUUCACCCACAAAAUAAAUAUUAAAUACAACCCAAAAAUCCAACUUACAGGCCAUUAGCAGCUAAAUCAUCCCUUCACAGUUCCCUUGCAAAUUUACAAAUGGGUAUGAGCCCAUUGGCAAGAAUUAUUCAACUACCACACUUCAAGUUACCCAACUUUACUAACAAAAUCCACAACUAAGACCGUUUAUUAAAUGGGAUGGUAACAAACAAAAAAAAAACCUCUCACCUUAGUCUUUAAAGAUUGAAUUCUGGCACUCCUGGAGCUCUGAAACACUUCAUUUACCCGAAGAACCUUCCUUGGAAAGGAAUUAUCAAUAAUUAUCUCUAAAACCAAUGAAGAACACAAUAUAGUCAAACUUUGAUCUCCUAAGAUUAAACCAAUAUCAGCAAAACAUUCACUUUUGGAGUACCUGGUUUAUUGGGAGUGUUGAAGGAGCAAACAGAAGUGAAACAUAGAGAGCUUGCCAUUCUUUUUUAUUCUCAAGAGGGUUUCCUUUCACUUUAUUGAAGUGCUUUUUGUUAUAAAGCUUUGAACUUCGAAGAAGAAAGCGAGAAAAAAGUGUCCUUCAGUUGUUAUACCCGAUAAGGCUAAAGGGGUAAUGAGGUCAAUUUAUUCUUCAAACAAAGCAGGAAGUAGCAGGUUUUUUUUUUUUUUAUUUUUUUAUUUGUUCUUUUCUUUUUGUCAAAAGACAAAAAUUUGCCUUCGGCAAAAACAAUGAGCAGAAAAUGGCUAGUGGCUUCCUGUUGACUGCUGCUCCGUUUCUGCCUUCCCAAAGAAAUGAAGUGGACAAUUAAGGAGUUCAUUCCAUGGCAAAGUAGGAUAUAAGCAAAGUUUUCUAGGAAGAGAAUUCAAUAGUCCUCGUGGAGGCAGAAUUAUUGUUGCGUCAGUGCUUCGAAGGAAGGUCCAGAAGAAAGAAACUGUGAUUCCUGACCCCAGAUUAUCGCAUAUCAAUUGUCCUACCGGAUAACCUAUUACCAGCUGCACCUGUUGGUCUACUUGGCGUUCUCCUAUUGUUCCAGCUACGAUUAACUAAAAGUAGAUGAUGUCCAUUAGAAGAAUCCAAAUUGCCACCUUCUGAAGAGCUUUCUUCCCUUUAUUAAAAUCAAAGCAGUUUAUAAGAUACCAUUCUGAAUUUCUGAUGAGAUCUUCAAGACAAAUCUCCUCCUCCUUUUUCUAGAUUUUCGUUAUUUUAGUUUCUAUUUCCAUCAUGGUUUGUUUUACAUAUCAAUUUUUUUAUCUGAAAUCAGCUGACAAUUUUGUUCUUCCAGACUACGAGAGUGAGAUUUGUCUUUGAUGACGAGGCACUGGAGGUGAAAGUAGGAGACCAGCUUGAGGAUUCAGGUGAAAAUGUCUUUGUGGGUGGAAAAAACCGUUGGAAAUACUCAACAUUUGUGAAUUGGGAACUUUGCUGGCCAAGCCUUAACCAGCUUUACUGGAUUAGUGUAUUUGGUUUUGACAUGAGCCUGGAAGAUAAAGGAGACCUUUCAGUUAAUUGGAUAUUAUAGCUGUUUAUUCUACUUGGUUCAUUAAACUUCAGGUGUGUUAGUGAAAUCCCUGAUUUAUGAUUUAUUAUUUUAUUUUAUUUUGUUACAAAUAGAACAGAAAGCAACUCUACGACGUUAUGGUAGAAAGAGCUGAUCCUUUAAAACCUAGUGGUAGAAGAGUGAAGACUUGGACUUCAAUGGUGACAGAUUUUCAUGAUCAAACUUUAUAAGCAUCAGAUAUGAGAUUCUCCCAACUCUCGCUAAACAGGUUAAGAGUUGUCGCGGCGCCCAUCAUUAAUUUGAAGCUUCAUCAAGCAGAUAUUUUACUCUAUCAUGUAUGAUUGAGUUGCAGACAUUCAACUAUAAAAGAUGUAAUACUCAAGGGUGUAUAUGUUAUAGCAUUGGGAUUUUUCACCUGACUAUAUUUGGCCAAUUGUAGUAUAUUCUUCUGAAUUCUGAUCAAUGUGAAUAGUUUUAGUAGGAGGCUGUGAGCCAACUUGUAUCUUAAAGCUUCAGGAAGAUCAAGUAAAAUAG